GAGGAUCAGAUCGGAUCUAGGAGGAUCCUGCGGGGAGAUCGAUACGAUAUCUUUGGAGUCCAAUUGCUUGCUUGCUUGCUUCACGACUUGAGUUCACUGCACGGGGCUGCCUCAAGAUUGAAACCUGAGCUUGUUGCUUGGAUUGGGUGGAAAAUCAUCAACUGUCUGUCCAUGUUCAGAUAAACUUGGGUUAAGUUUUUUUUCUGAAUAUAAUGCAUAAGCAUAACCCAGGAAUUCGCAAAUAAUGAAGCCUUCUUCCAUGGGUCGGCGCUCGAUCGACAAACAAUUCAACACUUUCACUUACAGUAUUUGCCAAGCACAUGCCUUCUUGUUUCUCCCAGAGUGUACAGAUCCUCUGAACAACGAACGACUGACGGUAGGAUAC
rnacentral:lncRNA from 1 species